rnacentral:lncRNA from 1 species
UACGAGGCAUCACAAAAUCUAUAUCAAGAUAUCCAACAUUCAGGCGCCGCUUUGAGAGUAGCAUCAGGAUUAUCUUAGAAGAACUAGCCAAGAAGAACGGUGAUAGUAGAAAAUCAGAAGAUUCAGGACCUCAAAAAGUUCCCAGGUCAAAAAGCAUGUUUGUUCGCAUGUUUAGCGAUAAAUCUUUCAAGAAAGAAGAAUGGUGAUAGUAGAAAAUCAGAAGAUUCAGGACCUCAAAAAGUUCCCAGGUCAAAAAGCAUGUUUGUUCGCAUGUUUAGCGAUAAGUCUUUCAAGAACAGAAACGGAAACAGUGAAUUUGAUCAAGAGGCUCAACUGGUAGACGCUGACAGAAAUGUUGAAAUUCAAUGAUAAUAUGUAUAUCAUUAACCAUUUUCUGGAUUUGCAUGAGAAUCCUAGUAGGAAUAGGUUAUAGGUUUGAAUGAUUUCUUCUCUGCUGUUGCUUUAGAAAUAGCAUGUGUUGUAAAAUGGCCAAAGAAGUAAACCUUCCUUUCUUUUUUAUAUUUAAGGAUAAAACCUUCUCCUUCUUUCCCUGUUUGGAGGUAAAAA